UYSAKCACUMUGAGUACAUAUAGUAGGCAUCUGUAGUGGGUAUCUACUUGGUGAAUAUGUUUUGUAAAUCCUGUCCACCCCCGUGGAUGGGUAGUCGGCAAAACGUCGGACUGUCAUAAGAAUUGAAACGCUGGCACACUGUUGGGUCCUGAGGCAACACGUUGUGUUGUCACCCUGCUUGGUGGUGGGGUGUGGACUUUGACUUCUGAAUAGUGGUUGMRARCAUMC
rnacentral:misc_RNA from 1 species